UGACAUACAAGGGGUGCAGGUUAUCUCAUUUAUCACAUUUACUGACAUACAAGGGGUGCAGGUUAUCUCAUUUAUCACAUUUACUGACAUACAAGGGGUGCAGGUUAUCUCAUUUAUCACAUUUACUGACAUACAAGGGGUGCAGGUUAUCUCAUUUAUCACAUUUACUGACAUACAAGGGGUGCAGGUUAUCUCAUUUAUCACAUUUACUGACAUACAAGGGGUGCAGGUUAUCUCAUUUAUCACAUUUACUGACAUACAAGGGGUGUAGGUUAUCUCAUUUAUCACAUUUACUGACAUACAAGGGGUGCAGGUUAUCUCAUUUAUCACAUUUACUGACAUACAAGGGGUGUAGGUUAUCUCAUUUAUCACAUUUACUGACAUACAAGGGGUGCAGGUUAUCUCAUUUAUCACAUUUACUGACAUACAAGGGGUGCAGGUUAUCUCAUUUAUCACAUUUACUGACAUACAAGGGGUGCAGGUUAUCUCAUUUAUCACAUUUACUGACAUACAAGGGGUGCAGGUUAUCUCAUUUAUCACAUUUACUGACAUACAAGGGGUGCAGGUUAUCUCAUUUAU